GAUGAACGCUGGCGGCGUGCCUAAUACAUGCAAGUCGAGCGAACGGACGAGAAGCUUGCUUCUCUGAUGUUAGCGGCGGACGGGUGAGUAACACGUGGAUAACCUACCUAUAAGACUGGGAUAACUUCGGGAAACCGGAGCUAAUACCGGAUAAUAUUUUGAACCGCAUGGUUCAAAAGUGAAAGACGGUCUUGCUGUCACUUAUAGAUGGAUCCGCGCUGCAUUAGCUAGUUGGUAAGGUAACGGCUUACCAAGGCAACGAUGCAUAGCCGACCUGAGAGGGUGAUCGGCCGCACUGGAACUGAGACACGGUCCGGAGUCCUACGGGAGGCAGCAGUAGGGAAUCUUCCGCAAUGGGCGAAAGCCUGACGGAGCAACGCCGCGUGAGUGAUGAAGGUCUUCGGAUCGUAAAACUCUGUUAUUAGGGAAGAACAUAUGUGUAAGUAACUGUGCACAUCUUGACGGUACCUAAUCAGAAAGCCACGGCUAACUACGUG
rnacentral:rRNA from 1 species